AAGACUAUACUUUCAGGGAUCAUUUCUAUAGUUCGUUACUAGAGAAGUUUCUCUGAUCAUGUAAAGCAACUCUUACCAAAGAGGUCUUUGA
rnacentral:snoRNA from 1 species